CACACGAUUCAUACGGACUUUGGCUACUACAUCAAAGCUUUGAGAAGCAAGAAGAAGCUUGGUUAGUGUUUUGGAGUUGAAUAUGACUUGAUGUCAUGUGUAUGAUUGAGUAUAAGAACUUAAACAGCAAUAGAUUCUUAAAACCCUAAGUAGUGUUUCCUUCUUAGAAGAUACAAAGCCAAAGACUCAUACAGACUUCGGCUACACCAUCAAAGCUAGGAGAAGCAAGAAGAAGCUUGGUUAGUGUUUUGGAGUCGAAUAUGACUUGAUGUCAUGUGUUUGAUUGAGUAUAAGAGCUUAAACCACAACCGGAUCUUAAAAGCCUAAGUAGUGUUUCCUAGUUAGAAUAUACAAA
rnacentral:sRNA from 1 species